CGACGCCCUCGCGGCAAAGGCGGAGGCCCGCCAGCCGGAAGCGAGUCUUGCAUGGGUGACGGUAACGUCGCUCGUGAAGCGUAGACAGCAGGUACUUAAGCCCUGUGGCAGCCUCGAAAUCAUGGUCGUGCUGAAGCCUUCGCCGUGUUGGGUGCGGGGGCAGCACCGGGAAAGCCGCUAUGGUCAGGUUUACCGGUUCCGCCGGGGUCUCUGAGCA
rnacentral:ncRNA from 1 species